ncrna:unclassified sequences DTF3800-X RNA
UGGUGAGUAAGUCCUUCCGAAAGGAUGAUGCCUGCGGACGCAGGAUGGGAGCGAGUAGGAAAGGGUUCACCA